rfam:Fistulina hepatica ATCC 64428 unplaced genomic scaffold FISHEscaffold_518, whole genome shotgun sequence.
GUCCCUGUCGAUUAGUGGUUAAAUCAUCUCGUUGUGGUUAUAUCACGAACCGAGAAGCCGGAAGUUCGAAUCCUCCCUGGGACA